GACGAACGCUGGCGGCGUGCUUAACACAUGCAAGUCGAACGAAAAUACCAAGCUUGCUUGGUUGAUUAGUGGCGAACGGGUGAGUAACACGUGAGUAACCUGCCCCUUACUUUCCUGGAUAACUGCUCGAAAGGGUAGCUAAUACGGGAUAUUCUGACCAUCCUGCAUGGGUUGGUUUGGAAAGGUUGUUUUUCUGGUAAGGGAUGGGCUCGCGGCCUAUCAGCUUGUUGGUGGGGUGAUGGCCUACCAAGGCUUUGACGGGUAGCCGGCCUGAGAGGGUGGACGGUCACACUGGGACUGAGAUACGGCCCAGACUCCUACGGGAGGCAGCAGUGGGGAAUAUUGCACAAUGGGCGCAAGCCUGAUGCAGCGACGCCGCGUGAGGGAUGAAGGCCUUCGGGUUGUAAACCUCUUUCGUCAGGGAACAAGGCAUUGCCUUUUUUGGUGGUGUUGAGGGUGCCUGGAUAAGAAGCGCCGGCUAACUACGUGCCAGCAGCCGCGGUAAUACGUAGGGCGCAAGCGUUGUCCGGAAUUAUUGGGCGUAAAGAGCUCGUAGGCGGCUGGUCGCGUCUGUCGUGAAAACUUCCGGCUCAACCGGGGGCUUGCGGUGGGUACGGGCCGGCUAGAGUGCGGUAGGGGUAACUGGAACUCCUGGUGUAGCGGUGGAAUGCGCAGAUAUCAGGAAGAACACCGAUGGCGAAGGCAGGUUACUGGGCCGUUACUGACGCUGAGGAGCGAAAGCGUGGGGAGCGAACAGG
rnacentral:rRNA from 1 species